AAUAGGAUGCCUGAGUAAAGGGUUACUUUGAUAGAGUAAAUAACGCAAUAAAUUGCUUCUAUUA
rnacentral:tRNA from 1 species